CAGAGAGGUCUAACCACAUACAGACAGAGGUAGAGAUGGAGAUGGAGACAGAGAGGUCUAACCACAUAUAGACAUAGGUAGAGAUGGAGAUGGAGACAGAGAGGUCUAACCACAUAUAGACAGAGGUAGAGAUGGAGACAGAGAGGUCUAACCACAUAUAGACAGAGGUAUAGAUGGAGACAGAGAGGUCUAACCACAUACAGACAGAGGUAGAGAUGGAGACAGAGAGGUCUAACCACAUAUAGACAGAGGUAUAGAUGGAGACAGAGAGGUCUAACCACAUAUAGAUAGAGGUAUAGAUGGAGACAGAGAGGUCUAACCACAUAUAGACAGAGGUAUAGAUGGAGACAGAGAGGUCUAACCACAUAUAGACAGAGGUAUAGAUGGAGACAGAGAGGUCUAACCACAUAUAGAUAGAGGUAUAGAUGGAGACAGAGAGGUCUAACCACAUACAUACAGAGGUAGAGAUGGAUACAUAGAGGUCUAACCACAUAGAUACAGAGGUAGAGAUGGAGACAGAGAGGUCUAACCACAUAUAGACAGAGGUAUAGAUGGAGACAGAGAGGUCUAACCACAUACAGACAGAGGUAUAGAUGGAGACAGAGAGGUCUGACCACAUAUACACAGAGGUAUAAAUGGAGACAGAGAGGUCUAACCACAUAUAGACAGAGGUAUAGAUGGAGACAGAGAGGUCUAACCACAUAUAGACAGAGGUAUAGAUGGAGACAGAGAGGUCUGACCACAUAUAGACAGAGGUAUAGAUGGAGACAGAGAGGUCUAACCACAUAUAGACAGAGGUAUAGAUGGAGACAGAGAGGUCUAACCACAUAUAGACAGAGGUAGAGAUGGAGACAGAGAGGUCUAACCACAUACAUACAGAGGUAGAGAUGGAGACAGAGAGGUCUAACCACAUAUAGACAGAGGUAUAGAUGGAGACAGAGAGGUCUAACCACAUAUAGAUAGAGGUAUAGAUGGAGACAGAGAGGUCUAACCACAUAUAGACAGAGGUAUAGAUGGAGACAGAGAGGUCUAACCACAUAUAGACAGAGGUAUAGAUGGAGACAGAGAGGUCUAACCACAUAUAGAUAGAGGUAUAGAUGGAGACAGAGAGGUCUAACCACAUACAUACAGAGGUAGAGAUGGAUACAUAGAGGUCUAACCACAUAGAUACAGAGGUAGAGAUGGAGACAGAGAGGUCUGACCACAUAUAGACAGAGGUAGAGAUGGAGACAGAGAGGUCUAACCACAUACAGACAGAGGUAGAGAUGGAGACAGAGAGGUCUAACCACAUAUAGAUAGAGGUAUAGAUGGAGACAGAGAGGUCUAACCACAUACAUACAGAGGUAGAGAUGGAGACAGAGAGGUCUAACCACAUAUAGAUAGAGGUAGAGAUGGAG